rnacentral:RNase_P_RNA from 1 species
UGACAGGAGCAACCGCGCGGCCAUAGCGUAUCGCCUUAGCCCCGCAGGGCAAAGGCAGAAGAUACGCGGGGGCGAGGAAAGUCCGGACACCACGGGCAACGGGGCCAGAGAGAUCUGGGCGGCGGAGAUUCUUACGAAUCCCUACUGACGAACAGUGCCACAGAAAAAAUACCACCAGAUUGCGGGGUUGCGUAAGCACCCCCUCAAUCUGGCAAGGGUGAAAAGGUGCGGUAAGAGCGCACCGCGCGGCCGAGAGGUUUGCGGCAGGGUAAACUCCCCCGGGUGCAAUUUCGAGCAGUUGUGGGUUCACACGAGGGCGUAAGCCCUGGCCGGCCCGGCCUGAACGACGCAACGGGUAGAAAGCGAAGGGCGGCGGGGUAUAACCCGCCGACAAGACAAAUGGUUGCCAAAGCGAUUUUGCGAAAGCAAAAUUCGCUCAGACAGAAUCCGGCUUAUGAAUGUCACUAA